GAUGAACGCUAGCGGCAGGCCUAAUACAUGCAAGUCGAACGAUAGAAGAGGGCUUGCUCUCUUCGAAAGUGGCGCACGGGUGCGUAACGCGUAUGCAACCUACCUUAAUCAGGGGGAUAGCCCGAAGAAAUUCGGAUUAACACCGCAUAAAAUCACAGUACAGCAUUGUACAAUGAUCAAAUAUUUAUAGGAUUAAGAUGGGCAUGCGUGACAUUAGCUAGUUGGCGGGGUAACGGCCCACCAAGGCGACGAUGUCUAGGGGAUCUGAGAGGAUGACCCCCCAGACUGGUACUGAGACACGGACCAGUCUCCCACGGGAGGCAGCAGUAAGGAAUAUUGGUCAAUGGAGGCAACUCUGAACCAGCCAUGCCGCGUGCAGGAAGACAGCCCUCUGGGUCGUAAACUGCUUUUAUUCGGGAAUAAACCUACUUACGUGUAAGUAGCUGAAUGUACCGAAGGAAUAAGGAUCGGCUAACUCCGUGCCAGCCGCCGCGGUAA
rnacentral:rRNA from 1 species